UACGGAGGGGGCUAGCGUUAUUCGGAAUUAUUGGGCGUAAAGGGCGUGUAGGCGGCUUCGUGUGUCCCAUGUGAAAGCCCUCAGCUCAACCGGGGAACUGCAUGGGAAACUGCGGAGCUUGAGUCCGGGAGAGGAGAGCGGAAUUCCCAGUGUAGCGGUGAAAUGCGUAGAUAUUGGGAGGAACACCGGUGGCGAAGGCGGCUCUCUGGACCGGUACUGACGCUGAGACGCGAAAGCCAGGGGAGCAAACGGG
rnacentral:rRNA from 1 species